UUAAGCGACUAAGCGUACACGGUGGAUGCCCUGGCAGUCAGAGGCGAUGAAGGACGUGCUAAUCUGCGAUAAGCGUCGGUAAGGUGAUAUGAACCGUUAUAACCGGCGAUUUCCGAAUGGGGAAACCCAGUGUGAUUCGUCACACUAUCAUUAACUGAAUCCAUAGGUUAAUGAGGCGAACCGGGGGAACUGAAACAUCUAAGUACCCCGAGGAAAAGAAAUCAACCGAGAUUCCCCCAGUAGCGGCGAGCGAACGGGGAGGAGCCCAGAGCCUGAAUCAGUGUGUGUGUUAGUGGAAGCGUCUGGAAAGGCGCGCGAUACAGGGUGACAGCCCCGUACACAAAAAUGCACAUGCUGUGAGCUCGAUGAGUAGGGCGGGACACGUGGUAUCCUGUCUGAAUAUGGGGGACCAUCCUCCAAGGCUAAAUACUCCUGACUGACCGAUAGUGAACCAGUACCGUGAGGGAAAGGCGAAAAGAACCCCGGCGAGGGGAGUGAAAAAGAACCUGAAACCGUGUACGUACAAGCAGUGGGAGCCUCUUUUAUGGGGUGACUGCGUACCUUUUGUAUAAUGGGUCAGCGACUUAUAUUCUGUAGCAAGGUUAACCGAAUAGGGGAGCCGAAGGGAAACCGAGUCUUAACUGGGCGUUAAGUUGCAGGGUAUAGACCCGAAACCCGGUGAUCUAGCCAUGGGCAGGUUGAAGGUUGGGUAACACUAACUGGAGGACCGAACCGACUAAUGUUGAAAAAUUAGCGGAUGACUUGUGGCUGGGGGUGAAAGGCCAAUCAAACCGGGAGAUAGCUGGUUCUCCCCGAAAGCUAUUUAGGUAGCGCCUCGUGAAUUCAUCUCCGGGGGUAGAGCACUGUUUCGGCAAGGGGGUCAUCCCGACUUACCAACCCGAUGCAAACUGCGAAUACCGGAGAAUGUUAUCACGGGAGACACACGGCGGGUGCUAACGUCCGUCGUGAAGAGGGAAACAACCCAGACCGCCAGCUAAGGUCCCAAAGUCAUGGUUAAGUGGGAAACGAUGUGGGAAGGCCCAGACAGCCAGGAUGUUGGCUUAGAAGCAGCCAUCAUUUAAAGAAAGCGUAAUAGCUCACUGGUCGAGUCGGCCUGCGCGGAAGAUGUAACGGGGCUAAACCAUGCACCGAAGCUGCGGCAGCGACACUGUGUGUUGUUGGGUAGGGGAGCGUUCUGUAAGCCUGUGAAGGUGUGCUGUGAGGCAUGCUGGAGGUAUCAGAAGUGCGAAUGCUGACAUAAGUAACGAUAAAGCGGGUGAAAAGCCCGCUCGCCGGAAGACCAAGGGUUCCUGUCCAACGUUAAUCGGGGCAGGGUGAGUCGACCCCUAAGGCGAGGCCGAAAGGCGUAGUCGAUGGGAAACAGGUUAAUAUUCCUGUACUUGGUGUUACUGCGAAGGGGGGACGGAGAAGGCUAUGUUGGCCGGGCGACGGUUGUCCCGGUUUAAGCGUGUAGGCUGGUUUUCCAGGCAAAUCCGGAAAAUCAAGGCUGAGGCGUGAUGACGAGGCACUACGGUGCUGAAGCAACAAAUGCCCUGCUUCCAGGAAAAGCCUCUAAGCAUCAGGUAACAUCAAAUCGUACCCCAAACCGACACAGGUGGUCAGGUAGAGAAUACCAAGGCGCUUGAGAGAACUCGGGUGAAGGAACUAGGCAAAAUGGUGCCGUAACUUCGGGAGAAGGCACGCUGAUAUGUAGGUGAAGUCCCUCGCGGAUGGAGCUGAAAUCAGUCGAAGAUACCAGCUGGCUGCAACUGUUUAUUAAAAACACAGCACUGUGCAAACACGAAAGUGGACGUAUACGGUGUGACGCCUGCCCGGUGCCGGAAGGUUAAUUGAUGGGGUCAGCGCAAGCGAAGCUCUUGAUCGAAGCCCCGGUAAACGGCGGCCGUAACUAUAACGGUCCUAAGGUAGCGAAAUUCCUUGUCGGGUAAGUUCCGACCUGCACGAAUGGCGUAAUGAUGGCCAGGCUGUCUCCACCCGAGACUCAGUGAAAUUGAACUCGCUGUGAAGAUGCAGUGUACCCGCGGCAAGACGGAAAGACCCCGUGAACCUUUACUAUAGCUUGACACUGAACAUUGAGCCUUGAUGUGUAGGAUAGGUGGGAGGCUUUGAAGUGUGGACGCCAGUCUGCAUGGAGCCGACCUUGAAAUACCACCCUUUAAUGUUUGAUGUUCUAACGUGGACCCGUGAUCCGGGUUGCGGACAGUGUCUGGUGGGUAGUUUGACUGGGGCGGUCUCCUCCUAAAGAGUAACGGAGGAGCACGAAGGUUGGCUAAUCCUGGUCGGACAUCAGGAGGUUAGUGCAAUGGCAUAAGCCAGCUUGACUGCGAGCGUGACGGCGCGAGCAGGUGCGAAAGCAGGUCAUAGUGAUCCGGUGGUUCUGAAUGGAAGGGCCAUCGCUCAACGGAUAAAAGGUACUCCGGGGAUAACAGGCUGAUACCGCCCAAGAGUUCAUAUCGACGGCGGUGUUUGGCACCUCGAUGUCGGCUCAUCACAUCCUGGGGCUGAAGUAGGUCCCAAGGGUAUGGCUGUUCGCCAUUUAAAGUGGUACGCGAGCUGGGUUUAGAACGUCGUGAGACAGUUCGGUCCCUAUCUGCCGUGGGCGCUGGAGAACUGAGGGGGGCUGCUCCUAGUACGAGAGGACCGGAGUGGACGCAUCACUGGUGUUCGGGUUGUCAUGCCAAUGGCACUGCCCGGUAGCUAAAUGCGGAAGAGAUAAGUGCUGAAAGCAUCUAAGCACGAAACUUGCCCCGAGAUGAGUUCUCCCUGACCCUUUAAGGGUCCUGAAGGAACGUUGAAGACGACGACGUUGAUAGGCCGGGUGUGUAAGCGCAGCGAUGCGUUGAGCUAACCGGUACUAAUGAACCGUGAGGCUUAACCU
rnacentral:rRNA from 1 species